GACGUAGGGGGCGAGCGUUGUCCGGAUUUAUUGGGCGUAAAGCGCGCGUAGGCGGAUCUGCAAGUCGGGGGUGAAAUCCCGAGGCUCAACCUCGGAACUGCCUUCGAUACUGCGGGUCUCGAGUCCGGGAGAGGUGAGUGGAAUUCCUAGUGUAGAGGUGAAAUUCGUAGAUAUUAGGAAGAACACCAGUGGCGAAGGCGGCUCACUGGCCCGGUACUGACGCUGAGGCGCGAAAGCGUGGGGAGCAAACAGG
rnacentral:rRNA from 1 species